rnacentral:snRNA from 1 species
CACACUUACCAGCCGUUGGCUAAGAUCAAGUGCAUCAUCUUUUUUAUCACUUUAAUAUCUGAUACAUCCUCAGCUUGAAGUUUUUAUAUUAAAUGGAUUUGAAGGGCACGGGAAGGGGUAACUGCUUCCUCCAUCCACCCCAUGCAUCAACCCAAAACUGCAGUGCUUCCAGGUACCGUGGCCACAUC